rnacentral:tRNA from 1 species
GACGUGGCUCAGUUGGUAGAGUGCUUGCCUAGCAUGCAUGAAGCCCUGGGUUCUGUUCUCAGCAUC